rnacentral:rRNA from 1 species
UACGUAGACCUCAAGCGUUAUCCGGAUUUAUUGGGCGUAAAGAGCGUGUAGGCGGCCAGGUAGGUCGGUUGUGAAAACUGGAGGCUUAACCUCCAGACGUCGACCGAAACCAUCUGGCUAGAGUCCGGAAGAGGAGAGUGGAAUUCCUGGUGUAGCGGUGAAAUGCGCAGAGAUCAGGAAGAACACCCGUGGCUAAGGCGGCUCUCUAGUACGGUACUGACGCUGAGACGCGAAAGCGUGGGGAGCGAACAGG